rnacentral:rRNA from 1 species
AACGAACGCUGGCGGCAUGCCUAACACAUGCAAGUCGAACGAGACCUUCGGGUCUAGUGGCGCACGGGUGCGUAACGCGUGGGAACCUGCCCUUAGGUUCGGAAUAACUCCCCGAAAGGGGUGCUCAUACCGGAUAAUGUCUUCGGACCAAAGAUUUAUCGCCUUUGGAUGGGCCCGCGUUGGAUUAGCUAGUUGGUAGGGUAAAAGCCUACCAAGGCGACGAUCCAGAGCUGGUCUGAGAGGAUGAUCAGCCACACUGGGACUGAGACACGGCCCAGACUCCUACGGGAGGCAGCAGUGGGAAAUAUUGGACGAUGAGCGAGAGCCUAAUCCAGCAAUGCCGCGUGAGUGAUGAAGGCCUUAGGGUUGUAAAGCUCUUUUACCCGGGAUGAUAAUGACAGUACCGGGAGAAUAAGCACCGGCUAACUCCGUG